AAGUCUGCUCCCAGGAUAUUUGCAGGCUAAUGUGGCAGCCUCGGGAAUCCUACAUGCUUAUACAAGUCAUCUGUCUUGCGGAAGCCCAUUCAAACCCAGCUGGAAACUCCUGGCCUUUGGAGAUUCGACCUCCACAACUAUUCCUAUCACAGACGAACAGAAGGAGAACCCAGUUUGCACGAAAUUUUCAAACGAUGCAAACCCAUGAGCCUGGUCACUCGUUACUCAGUUUUCCCAGGAGAAGGAAGGAGCAUUUGCCGUGAAAAUGAUGCCUCACACACGAGCACACUGAAUUCAGGUGAAGACUCUAGAGCACGAGCUGGAGCCCUUUUAAAAAUCAAAUAUUGCGUCUUCAUGAACAAAGCUCUAGCAGUAAAGCUAAGAGAAGACAACGCAGCGACCACGUGAUACAUUAGCAGAAUGCUUUACAAAGUCCCCCACAAAGAUCCGCUGCUCUUGAAAAGCCUAACCAACCCAAGUGAGAAACUAUUCACAAAUUUAGUAUUCAGAUUACAUGCUCUGCCUUUUCAACUGCUCUCUGUACAAUGAAUGCCUGUACAACUACAGUAACAGACACAGAUCUACAGUUUCUGUGGCCUUUGAGCUAUUAUGAGUAUUGUGCCUCUCCAUAAAUUACAUGUGCAUGUCCUGAAAAUACCAACUGUUUUAACAGGAAUUAAUCUGUAGGCUUUUAUCUUAGUGAAAUACAAGGGGUACAGUAUGUUGCAUCUCUUUUAAAAUUAAUAGGGUAUAGCCUGAAGAUAUUCAAGGAGGUUCAUUAUUUUCUUUAUAGGUCUCUUUAUCGAUGCAUAUAAACAUGAAACAGUGCCUUACUGUAGGAAAGAGAAGGGGAUAGCAUAAUGAAUAGAUUCGGGCUUACAUGGUUUUAGACUGUCCAACGCACAGUUAAGCAAAGAAAGGUCUGCAUUUGUCCUCUUCAAAGCGUAUUGGGAUUUGAUCCAGUUUGUGUUCAAAGUACCCCUUCUGUAGGCAGAAGAGAGAGGAUUCAGUCUAAAGGGAAGAAAGCUGAUCCAGUCGUCUGUUGCUCCGUGGUGUUCGUAGCUGUCCGAGGCAACAGUAUGUUACAUACGUGCUUUUUAAUUUGCCAAAUCUAAAUAAAUCUGGAACUUUGUUGCUGCGCUGAACUAUU
rnacentral:lncRNA from 1 species